CCUACGGGGGGCAGCAGUGAGGAAUAUUGGUCAAUGGACGAGAGUCUGAACCAGCCAAGUAGCGUGAAGGAUGACUGCCCUAUGGGUUGUAAACUUCUUUUAUAUGGGAAUAAAACGUUCCACGUGUGGGAUUUUGUAUGUACCAUAUGAAUAAGGAUCGGCUAACUCCGUGCCAGCAGCCGCGGUAAUACGGAGGGUGCAAGCGUUAUCCGGAUUUAAUGGGUGUAAAGGGAGCGCAGGGGGCGUGUCAAGCCAGGUGUGAAAGUUUGCGGCUCAACCCCAGGAUUGCACUUGAAACUGGGAGGCUUGAGUGCAGUAGAGGUAGGCGGAAUUCGUGGUGUAGCGGUGAAAUGCGUAGAUAUCAGGAGGAACACCGAUGGCGAAGGCAGCCUACUGGACUGCAACUGACGUUGAGGCCCGAAAGCGUGGGUAGCAAACAGGAUUAGAUACCCGUGUAGUC
rnacentral:rRNA from 1 species